GGGGAAGUGUCUUCUGGGUGCCAAUUUUACCCAGUCCUGAGGCCUGGCUGUCAGCCUGCUGCCCUGGGGAUCCUGCAGACGCCUCGGUGCUGAGGACAUAUGGAAUAGUGGGCUGUCCUGCAUUUUCAUCUUGUCCUUGAUUCUUUCUUUAUUCUAGAAAUUACCUCCCUGUCUUAUAGAGCUGUAUCCAGACAUGAAAGA
rnacentral:lncRNA from 1 species